GGCCCAGUAGCUCAGUUGGUUAGAGCAGCGGACUCAUAAUCCGUUGGUCCCAGGUUCGAGUCCUGGCUGGGCCA
rnacentral:tRNA from 1 species